AAUUAGCGCGUUACAUCAUUGGGCAAAUUUGAUUGGUUAAAAUUUUAAGCAGCAAUCAUUAUGCGCAUUGUUUGCCCGAUAUUGUAUCGAUCGACAAACUUUUCAAACACGUUAAUUGGUUAUAGGACAGAGAGAUCCGAGAAUCUCUCUGUUUUACAGCUAAUAAACAGGCUUGAGAAGCCUUCUUGUACGACACAUGAAAUAUCGGCCUUUCACCUUAUAUAUUUCCACCAUGGUAGUUCCAAUCCAUAGAUCAUAUAUAAGAUUCCGAUCCGACGAACCACCCGACCGUUAUGGACGCGUUUCGGUUCGGGUGCUCUUCAUUGUAUACUUUUAAAAGUGUUGCCGACUUUGACCGUGCAUUUCAUCGCAUAGAUACGUGUUCGCGAAUUGAGCUCGUCUCGAUUGUUCGUCGCUUGCACUAUUCGACGACCUGGGCUCUUAUGGCGCGCGUUAUUGCGGCGGCGUGACGACGUCGUAGAUCGAUAGAUGCAGACGUUCAGAGACCGGUCGAGACUCGAGCAACGCCAUUUUCACGGGCAUUACAUCAUCCAUUUUCGCGGACCUCAGUGGCCUAGUUUCUGCCUGUUUUGGCGGCCUAACCAAUAAUACAAGAAGAAGAAGCCCGGAGAGCGGUCAAACAACGCCAUUUUCGCGGACAUUGUAUCACCCACGUUUCGCAGACCUCAGCAGCGAGGUUUCAGCCUGUUGUGGCUGCCUGGCCAAUAAAUUAAGAAGAAGUAGACUGUCAUGUCCUCUCUCAGCCACUGUAUACUUAUACUACAAUCAUGUCGUUAAUGAUGGCCACAAUUUAAGCUUUUGUCAAAGCUGAACACAAUACUUUUGCUGUCCAAAGUUUUGAAUUAUUUGACGAAUUAUGUGAGAACAUGUUGUAAUAUCUCCCCAUGUAAAACAUCUUGUCCAUAUGUGCUUUACGAUCAUUACUAAUAAAUCUACAGACAGACUCGUGAAAAGAUGAUUAUUUUUAUUAGUUAACUGGCAAGAUUAAAGAAAAAAGCUCUUGUAAAGCACAAAUUAGUGGAAUCUAUCGUUGAUAUGUUAUUCAGAGUCAUAUGAUGAGUAAGCCAGAGGAAGACAAUGAUUGUACAAAUGUAGAUAAUGAAAAUACUGUUUUAACAAGCGCUAUUCAAACUUUAGACUUAUUCGUGAUGCAUUUGCCGCCAGAAAAGUUAAUUCCACAUUCGCUGUAACAUAUCGAAUCUGGACUCCGAAAUACAAGUGAUUACGUUAAGAAGACGUCAUACGUGGCUAUAGCUGUAAUAGCAAACAAUUAGGCUGAAUAUAUUCAUUCAAACUACUUUCUUCUUGCGAUGUAUUUACGAAGGAAUCUCCUAUCCUUCACUCAUUAUGCGCAAUGUCGCACUUUACACUUUAAGGCAAUACUUCGAACAUCUGCAACCAGAGAUUUCACAGUACUCAUCCGAGUUA